rnacentral:rRNA from 1 species
UACGUAGGGACCAAGCGUUGUUCGGAUUUACUGGGCGUAAAGGGCGCGUAGGCGGCAUGGCAAGUCACUUGUGAAAUCUCCGGGCUUAACUCGGAACGGCCAAGUGAAACUGUCAAGCUAGAGUGUGGAAGGGGCAAUCGGAAUUCUUGGUGUAGCGGUGAAAUGCGUAGAUAUCAAGAGGAACACCUGAGGUGAAGACGGGUUGCUGGGCCAACACUGACGCUGAUGCGCGAAAGCCAGGGGAGCAAACGGG